rnacentral:misc_RNA from 1 species
AACGCACAUUGCGCCCGCCAGUAUUCUGGCGGGCAUGCCUGUUCGAGCGUCAUUUCAACCAUCAAGCCCUAGGCUUGCGUUGGGGGCCUGCGGCUGCCGCAGCCUCCUAAAAGCAGUGGCGGGCUCGCUGUCAUUCCGAGCGCAGUAGUUACAUCUCGCUCUGGGUGUGGCGGUGGGCACCGGCCGUAAAACACUCUUUCUAAGGUUGACCUCGGAUCAGGUAGGAAUACCCGCUGAACUUAA